rnacentral:rRNA from 1 species
GAGAAAGCUAAGCCAGAGGGUCUCAUUCCCCUACCUCACAGUGCCGAAGAGGUGCGGUGGCUAGAUGCGAGGGAAACCGAGUAGAUUUUGGGGACGGCCAAAAAGUUGUUCCUAGCUAGACCUCGUGCGUUCUCUAGUGAUUCUAUAUUUCACGUAAACUCGGAUUGUAUCCGCGAGGCACGCAGCCUUGAUUAUCCUUAUCAAUAAAGCUUGAAAUUCUCUCAAGAAACAGAGAUAAAUUUGACAAAAUUAGGCUUGAACCUCUGUAUUUCGUUUUUUUAGGCAAACCUCUCUAUUUCGUAGAAAUGGAAAGGUAGAAGUCAUGUCCAGGUCCAGCCCAACGAGGAGAACCAUCUGACAAAGUCCAACUUAUCGCCACGAAGAGAGCUUGUAAGCCCACUGGGCCCAAGCCGCCUCCAGAACAACACCAAUUCACCACCGAUGCAGAGGCUCUCGCAGGUCGCGCUCCGCCGCCUCCUGUCGCCGCCGUCGGCCGCGGCAGCCGCUCGCCGGGCAGCGCCGGCGGCCGCGGAGGCAUGUUUCAGCGGAGCAGUACCUAUCCUACGCCGCGCCGGUGGCGCCGAGGUCGCGGCGGGCGGUUGGAGUGGCGGAUCUGGGAUCCUCUUGUGCCGCAGGCUCUGCACCUACAACGAGAGAGAUGACAGGGCACUUGAGGAGGAAGUUGAGAAGAAAUUUGGAUGGAUAUUAAAGAUAUUCUUCAUAGGGACUGCUGGCCUUGUUGGUUGGCAAUUCUUUCCCUACAUGGGGGAUAACCUACUACAGCAAUCCAUUACGCUUUUACAUGUCAAAGAUCCCUUGUUCAAGCGGAUGGGGGCUUCCAGAUUAGCUCGUUUUGCCGUUGAUGAUGAAAGGAGAAUGAAGGUGGUAGAGAUGGGUGGAGCUCAAGAAAUUCUCAAUGUGUUAGAAGGUGCUAAAGAUGAUAAAACACGCAAAGAAGCUCUGAAAGCUCUCGUGGCACUUGCAAAGUCGGAUAAAGCUGCGGGGUUUUUGGACAAGGCAGGUGCCUACGCCAUCGUCGCCUCCACUCCAAAUUCCCCCGAAUAUGCCGAGAUCGAGGCCUGCAAGGCUAGCCUUCUCAAGACGUUUGAUCAACUGAAGUCGUGAUGGUAAAUGCCCGGGUGGGUUUAUCUGCAUGUUUUCUCCAAACUGAAGUCGUGACUGGGCCAUUAUUUUGAUUGAAACAAGAAAACAAGCUCGGUGCACCAUUUUCUCUUCCUGGGGGCUCCGAUUUGCGACACCCCGGGCUUGUUGCUGGCGCGAGACAUUUUGUUCCAAGCACUCAACUUUGGGGUACCUUCUUUGUACUAUGAUACUGGCAAUUGGUCUAUGCAGUUCUUUUUGGUGAUGGGAUUGAAAUCACUACUACAAUGUUCUCAUCAAACGUCUUUAAUAAGAAUAUACUAUAUGCUGGGC